UACGUAGGGUGCAGGCGUUAAUCGGAAUUACUGGGCGUAAAGCGUGCGCAGGCGGUCUGUUAAGAGAGAUGUGAAAUCCCCGGGCUUAACCUGGGAACUGCGUUUCUAACUGGCAGGCUUGAGUGUGGCAGAGGGGGGUGGAAUUCCAUGUGUAGCAGUGAAAUGCGUAGAGAUGUGGAGGAACACCGAUGGCGAAGGCAGCCCCCUGGGCUAACACUGACGCUCAUGCACGAAAGCGUGGGGAGCAAACAGG
rnacentral:rRNA from 1 species